UGGGGAAUAUUGCACAAUGGGGGAAACCCUGAUGCAGCGACGCCGCGUGAGUGAAGAAGUCAUUCGUGAUGUAAAGCUCUAUCAGCAGGGAAGAAAAUGACGGUACCUGACUAAGAAGCCCCGGCUAACUACGUGCC
rnacentral:rRNA from 1 species